GUGACUGGUUGUGAUCCCAAAAAUACAAGAUGGAGCUAUCAUAAUGGCGGUUCUUGGCCAGUUCUCCUGUGGUUGCUUGCGGGUGCUUGUAUUAAAACAGGAAGGCCGCAGAGUGCAAGGAGGGCUCUUGAAUUAGCUGAACGUAGGCUUUCUAAGGACUGCUGGCCAGAAUACUAUGAUGGAAAGGACGGUAGCUAUAUUGGGAAACAGUCUCGGAAGCAGCAGACAUGGUCAGUUGCUGGGUAUUUGGUUGCUAAGAUGCUGCUGGAAGAUCCUUCUCUUCUGGGAAUCUUGGCUCUAGAGGAAGACAAAAGGAUCAAGCCCACUUCACUUACUCGAGCAAACACCUUGCCAGCAGGAUUCACA
rnacentral:misc_RNA from 1 species